GGAGGUUGGAGAUGUAAAGUCGCUUCCCCAGUCCCAAACCCCAAGCGUACCAUACGCUACGCUGCCACUUGCGUGAGCGUUGUCCAUUUGCUUUACCGACGUAGCGUAGCCGAGCGUGAUAAGACAAUACGACAAUCGUGUUUAAGAACCAUUCGCUCCCUUUUACUAGCAGAUUAUGCUAAAGCCUAACGUGAUGUGCAUGUGGCGCACUGCUGCAGGACAAGACAACUCCUCCUCAACUUCAAGCGAUUCGUAUCGGACUGUGUGUGAGCAUCGUCUUCAAUCUGCCACGGGGCCAAUAAAUGGAGCGUGAAACGUCCAUUAUCCCCCCCGUGCGUAUAUGUUUGUGUGGAUGGACAGUUUGAUGAUCACACCAACGCCGAAACUCAUCCAGGCUUGACGACAUUGCGUUAUGCACCCAGACCGUAGACUGCAAGCAGGAACUAUGAACGGGUUUAAGGAACACACUAUCGCAGUGCACUAUGAUAGAUAAACGUUUUGCUUAAAUCAACUUUCGUCAAAGAUGUUUCUGAUGACGCCAGCAUAUACUUAAUUAUUCUCGGUGUGGAUGAUUGGUAACAAAUAAAAGGACAACGAAUA